UACGUAGGGUCCAAGCGUUAAUCGGAAUUACUGGGCGUAAAGCGUGCGCAGGCGGUUUUAUAAGCCAGAUGUGAAAUCCCCGGGCUUAACCUGGGAAUGGCAUUUGGGACUGUAAGGCUAGAGUACGGCAGAGGAGACUAGAAUUCCUGGUGUAGCAGUGAAAUGCGUAGAUAUCAGGAGGAAUACCGAUGGCGAAGGCAGGUCUCUGGGCUAUAACUGACGCUCAUGCACGAAAGCGUGGGGAGCAAACAGG
rnacentral:rRNA from 1 species